AAACAUAUAGGUUUGGUCCCAGCCUUCCUGUUAACUUUCAAUAGACUUACACAUGCAAGCAUCCACACCCCGGUGAGAAUGCUCUCUGAGUCAGUAAGACUAAGAGGAGCGGGUAGCAAGCACACAUCUGUAGCUCAUAACACCUUGCUUAACCACACCCCCACGGGAGACAGCAGUGACAAAAAUUAAGCCAUAAACGAAAGUUUGACUAAGUUAUAUUGACUAGGGUUGGUAAAUCUCGUGCCAGCCACCGCGGUCAUACGAUUAACCCGAGCUAACAGGAAUACGGCAUAAAACGUGUGAAAGCGCUACAUCAAAUAGAGUUAAAUUUUAAUUAAACUGUAAAAAGCCAUAAUUACAAUAAAAAUAAAUGACGAAAGUAACUCUAUAACAGCUGACACACUAUAGCUAAGACCCAAACUGGGAUUAGAUACCCCACUAUGCUUAGCCCUAAACACAAAUAAUUAUAAAAACAAAAUUAUUCGCCAGAGUACUACCGGCAACAGCCCGAAACUCAAAGGACUUGGCGGUGCUUUAUACCCUUCUAGAGGAGCCUGUUCUAUAAUCGAUAAACCCCGAUAAACCUCACCAAUCCUUGCUAAUACAGUCUAUAUACUGCCAUCUUCAGCAAACCCUGAAAAAGAAUAAAAGUAAGCACAACCAUAGUAAGCUCAAUAAUAACACAUAAAGACGUUAGGUCAAGGUGUAACCUAUGGAGUGGGAAGAAAUGGGCUACAUUUUCUACCCAAGAAAAUUUAAUACGAAAGCCAUUAUGAAAUUAAUAGCCAAAGGAGGAUUUAGCAGUAAACUAAGAAUAGAGUGCUUAGUUGAAUCAGGCCAUGAAGCACGCACACACCGCCCGUCACCCUCCUCAAGUAAAUAUGAUAUACUUAAACCUAUUUACAUAUAUCAACCACACGAGAGGAGACAAGUCGUAACAAGGUAAGCAUACUGGAAAGUGUGCUUGGAUAAACCAAGAU
rnacentral:ncRNA from 1 species